rnacentral:rRNA from 1 species
AGGGUUUGAUUAUGGCUCAGAACGAACGCUGGCGGCAUGCCUAACACAUGCAAGUCGAACGCUAUUUAUAGAGUGGCGCACGGGCGAGUAACGCGUGGGAACCUGCCUUUUUCUGCGGGAUAACGGUUGGAAACGACCGCUAAUACCGCAUACGCCCUACAGGGGAAAGGUCCGCCGGAAAAAGAGGGGCCCGCGUCUGAUUAGCUUGUUGGUAAGGUAAUGGCUUACCAAGGCGACGAUCAGUAGCUGGUCUGAGAGGAUGAUCAGCCACACUGGGACUGAGACACGGCCCAGACUCCUACGGGAGGCAGCAGUGGGGAAUAUUGGACAAUGGGGGCAACCCUGAUCCAGCAAUGCCGCGUGUGUGAUGAAGGCCUUAGGGUUGUAAAGCACUUUCACUGGUGAAGAUGAUGACGGUAACCAGAGAAGAAGCCCCGGCUAACUUCGUGCCAGCCGCCGCGGUAAUACA